GCCGCUGCCCGGUCUAGCUAGAGACCCGGGCAAGAGCCUAGGGCCCCAGGAUCGGGACGGUUUUGUCAGCAGCGCCACCAGUCCCAGCGCUGCGCACCUUUCCCGGGCCUGGGGGUCAAGACUCGGGCGGGACCCUCUCUGGCUUUCGGACAGCGCCUGGGGCCUGCUCCUGGGGCCUGGAAAGGACUAAGUGAAGGAAGGCAUGCUGCGGGACCAGGGAGAAAGGACCACCAGAGAGGGAGCCGAGCUGUGAGUCUGGAAAGAUUUAACACUCCAACCCUGGCAGUCUACUAUCGUGGCAUUCUGCUUAGCUCCCCUUCAGCCAACCCCAAAGCCUUGGGCUGCUCAAGGAGAGAGAGAGAGAGAGAGAGAGAGAGAGAGAGAGAGAGAGAGAGAGAGAGAGAGAGAGAGAGAGAGAGCGCGAGCGUGCGCAGCCUGGAUCUGCCUUAACCAAAGGACCUAUUUUCCUCCAACUAGCUGGAAACAAAAGAUGGGAAAACUGAGGCUCAGUAGGCCUAGGAGCUUGUCACAUAGUAAGUGGAAAGGAUGGACUUCAAACCCAGAUUUCCAGCUCCAAGUUCAGUGAUAUUUCUGGACUACAACAGGUUGCCUAUCAAGGUCUGACCAGCAGGAAGUGUGUCAUGUUUGGACCUCGGGGUUUCUUCACUCUGUCCCCAUCCUCUUGAUGCAGGAAUCCAGCAAGCAGCCCUCACAUAGGGCUCCAUUGCCAUAUGACCCAGAGCAUCAUCUCUCUAGGACUCAACUGAAUCCUCUGGAGAUAAUUCCAGACGCGACAGAGAAUAAAUCCCUGUUUGAGACUUGUGGCA